rnacentral:lncRNA from 1 species
GACCUGUGUGCUUGGUUUCCAUAGGCAGGCAGCAAGGGCAGAGGCACAGGUGCAGUGGAAGGGCUGGGCAGGGGUGUCCGGGGCCGUGUGGAAGGGCUGGGCAGGGGUGUCCGGGGCCGUGUGGAAGGGCUGGGCAGGGGUGUCCGGGGCCGUGUGGAAGGGCUGGGCAGGGGUGUCCGGGGCCCUGUGGAAGAGCUGGGCAGGGGUGUCCGGGGCCGUGUGGAAGGGCUGGGCAGGGGUGUCCGGGGACGUGUGGAAGGGCUGGGCAGGGGUGUCCGGGGCCGUGUGGAAGGGCUGGGCAGGGGUGUCCGGGGCCGUGUGCAGCCUUGCUUCACCCGCAGGAGCACCUAGGAUACAGAUGAUGGGCAGAUACCCAGGGGUCUCCAGGCGGUGGGAGCGCACCCCAGCAGGCUGCAGGCCUGGGGCGCGGACAGGCCUGACCUGGAGACUCUGGGCCAUGGGAAGCCCCCAUCCACAUGGGCAGGGGGAAUCUGUCAUUCUGAACAGUGAAACAAAGCACGGAGAGCCCACUCAAGUUCUCACUUCUAGAGAAGAGGCAGCCUCGCCUGUGUUCCCAGCUUCAGCCAGAUAUGCAUGCGCUUGCAGAGGCUGGCACGCUCUGAGAGCCAAAGCCAGAGACGGGAAGUGGGAAUCACUCCAAGGCUGGAGGGACACACAGACCCAUGAGGAUGGCCAGAGGAGGACGGAGAUCAUACAGGGAGGUCCUGUUCUAAGAGGUCAUGGGUAGGAACCUUCCGCGAAUGCGGGAGGAAAACCCUCUCCUGGGCCAUCUAGGGCAGCCAGACACAUCACACACAGAGGAAUUCUACACUUCCCACAGGUCAAAGGCAGGCCAUCUACAGGGCAGCAUCCUGGAACUGACUGCAGGUGCUCACCAGCAACAGGGUGCUCACCCACAACAGGAUGCAGAGACAACGCAGCCUUCACACCGGAGGAACCAACAGGGCGAGCCCCAAAUUCUACACUGCUGGUAACACAGAGACACAUUCGUGCAACAAAUCAAGGCUCAGCAAACAAAUGGUGAAGGCUCAUCAUAAAUAUCAAAAGGCAUUGGUGAUAAAUAAGAACAAAAAAUAACAACAUCUGACAAAAUAAUUGAUGAGAGAAUCGUGGGUGCUGUGGGGACGGGUGAGUGUGGACAGAAGUUAAAUCACGCUAAUUUCCGUCUCAUCCAGGAGGAGGAUAGAUACACUGAAUGCUUUUGGAUUUAUUUUAAAAGAUAUGCUUAAAAUGUAAGGGUAAUAAAUAUGUCUUGUGUGUUCAUACACAAAUGUACACACAUAGAAUGCACCAAACUGACAGAGGGAAAUAAACUGAAAAUAACAAGGGUUAGCAAUUAUAUAGUUCUCUGCAGUUUUAUAUGACACUUAACAGACAUUAAUUUAUUUACUCUUCACCCAAAUGCUAUGGUAAGAAGUUAUUAUUAUAUCUGUCAAAAUUGGAGUCAUAUCAACUUAGGAAAAAUUUUAAAGUCUAUUGUCAAACAAUUAGAGAAGGCACAGCUCACAAUCCGAGAAACUUUAAACCAAGUGUAAAAAGCAUGUCUUAUGGCAGUCACAGCACAGUUAAUAAAGCAUAAAAAGGAACUAAUCCAACUUUUUCAUGAUUAACUAGCA